rnacentral:rRNA from 1 species
GGGAAUCUACCUCUUGCUACGGGAUAGCUCCGGGAAACUGGAAUUAAUACCGUAUGUGCCCUUCGGGGGAAAGAUUUAUCGGCAAGGGAUGAGCCCGCGUUGGAUUAGCUAGUUGGUGGGGUAAAGGCCUACCAAGGCGACGAUCCAUAGUUGGUCUGAGAGGAUGAUCAGCCACAUUGGGACUGAGACACGGCCCAAACUCCUACGGGAGGCAGCAGUGGGGAAUAUUGGACAAUGGGCGCAAGCCUGAUCCAGCCAUGCCGCGUGAGUGAUGAAGGUCUUAGGAUUGUAAAGCUCUUUCACCGGGGACGAUAAUGACGGUACCCGGAGAAGAAGCCCCGGCUAACUUCGUGCCAGCAGCCGCGGUAAUACGAAGGGGGCUAGCGUUGUUCGGAAUUACUGGGCGUAAAGCGCACGUAGGCGGAUAUUUAAGUCAGGGGUGAAAUCCCGGGGCUCAACCCCGGAACUGCCUUUGAUACUGGGUAUCUUGAGUGUGGUAGAGGUGAGUGGAAUUGCGAGU